CAACUUUCAACAACGGAUCUCUUGGCUCUCGCAUCGAUGAAGA
rnacentral:rRNA from 1 species